rnacentral:rRNA from 1 species
GACGAACGCUGGCGGCGUGCUUAACACAUGCAAGUCGAACGGAAAGGCCCUGCUUUUGUGGGGUGCUCGAGUGGCGAACGGGUGAGUAACACGUGAGUAACCUGCCCUUGACUUUGGGAUAACUUCAGGAAACUGGGGCUAAUACCGGAUAGGAGCUCCUGCUGCAUGGUGGGGGUUGGAAAGUUUCGGCGGUUGGGGAUGGACUCGCGGCUUAUCAGCUUGUUGGUGGGGUAGUGGCUUACCAAGGCUUUGACGGGUAGCCGGCCUGAGCGGGUGACCGGCCACAUUGGGACUGAGAUACGGCCCAGACUCCUACGGGAGGCAGCAGUGGGGAAUAUUGCACAAUGGGCGGAAGCCUGAUGCAGCAACGCCGCGUGCGGGAUGACGGCCUUCGGGUUGUAAACCGAUUUCGCCUGUGACGAAGAGUGAGUGACGGUAAUGGGUAAAGAAGCACCGGCUAACUACGUG